GGGAGAGUCAUUGAGCACCGCUUAAGAAGAAUGACAAGUGUGACCAAAAAUCAGUUUGGUUUCAUGCCUGGGAGGUCGACCAUGGAAGCCAUUUUCUUGGUACGACAACUUAUGGAGAGAUAUAGGGAGCAUAAGAAGGACUUGCAUAUGGUGUUCAUUGACUUGGAGAAGGCCUAUGAUAAGAUACCACGGAAUGUCAUGUGGUGGGCCUUGGAGAAACACAAAGUCCCAGCAAAGUACAUUACCCUCAUCAAGGACAUGUACAAUAAUGUUGUGACAAGUGUUCGAACAAGUGAUGUCGACACCGAUGACUUCCCGAUUAAGAUAGGACUGCAUCAGGGGUCAGCUUUGAGCCCUUAUCUUUUUGCAUUGGUGAUGGAUGAGGUCACAAGGGGUAUACAAGGAGAUAUCCCAUGGUGUAUGCUCUUUGCGGAUGAUGUGGUGCUAGUUGACGAUAGUCGGACGGGGGUAAAUAGGAAGUUAGAGUUAUGGAGACAAACCUUGGAAUCGAAAGGGUUUAGGCUUAGUAGAACUAAAACCGAGUACAUGAUGUGCGGUUUCAGUACUACUAGCUGUGAGGAGGAGGAGGUUAGCCUUGAUGUCCAGGUGGUACCUCGGAAGGACACCUUUCGGUAUUUGGGGUCAAUGUUGCAGGAGGAUGGGGGUAUUGAUGAAGAUGUGAACCAUCGAAUCAAAGCCGGAUGGAUGAAGUGGCGCCAAGCUUCUGGCAUUCUCUGUGACAAGAGAGUGCCACAAAAGCUAAAAGUU
rnacentral:rRNA from 1 species